UCCCCAUGCUGGCCAGUGUUCCCUGGCCAUGUCAUAACGUCUGUGCAGGAUGAGACUGGAUGUGUGGGAGUUACCAGGCCCAAGGGACUGGCCACGGCUCCUCCUGGCCCAGGGAGGAAGUCCCAAGCCUGUGCCAAAGGGUCAUUUGGUGCUGCCUGUGGGGGAGGCUGAAAGCGCAGACGCGGCUGAGCCCGUGCUCUGCAUCACUGGGGCCUGGGAGGUUCUACUCUGCACCCGUGUGUCUGAGCAGGGGGGGCUGGGAGGUUCUACUCUGCGCCCGUGUGUCUGAGCGGGGGUGCUGGGAGGUUCCCCGGCCUCUUUGGGGUCUCUAGUGAAGAACAGAAUCUGCAGCCAGGCCCUGGCCAGCUGGCCCAUGCACAGUUACUGGGCCUGGGGGUGGCUCCUCUCUUUGGGUCUUGGCUUUGUCAGGCUAGUGUGGUCCAGGUCCAGGUCCCGUGCGCGUCUCGGACUUGCUUAGCCAUCCGGUCCUCUGCCUGCAGGAGGCUGUGGCCAGGAGGUUCCCGACCAUGGGGAGGCCAUUGAACCUCAGACAGAUCACAGUCUGGAGAUGUAGGAUGCAUCUUGUCCCCUGCCCCCAGUUGUACUGGUCUCUGUUGGCCGUACUGGUGUUCCCUGGCAGCCUCUCCCUAGUGUCUCUAGCCCAGCCUCAGGGCAGCACACGCAGCUGGACUGACUUGCACUUUCUCUUGAAACUUGGGAGAUGUGUGGCAGCAGGGAGCCUUGCUGUAAACACUUCCCCUGGAUAAAUGGGGACUCUGGAAAUAGGUCCCAGAGGGAAGAGUUGAAAGGAGUCCACCUGUUAAGUGCUCCGGCGGGGCUGGGGGCGGGAGAAGCCGGCGCAACAUUGAGAGGCCUUAGUAGGGAGCUUGUGAUUCUGGUAGUUCAGAACAUGGAACGUUUCUUUGACUUUUGCCAACACCUUUUUCCUACCUGUAUUAAAGGUACCUAAAAAGGGACAGGGGUGU